rnacentral:rRNA from 1 species
GACGAACGCUGGCGGCGUGCCUAAUACAUGCAAGUCGAGCGAGCUUGCCUAGAUGAUUUUAGUGCUUGCACUAAAUGAAACUAGAUACAAGCGAGCGGCGGACGGGUGAGUAACACGUGGGUAACCUGCCCAAGAGACUGGGAUAACACCUGGAAACAGAUGCUAAUACCGGAUAACAACACUAGACGCAUGUCUAGAGUUUGAAAGAUGGUUCUGCUAUCACUCUUGGAUGGACCUGCGGUGCAUUAGCUAGUUGGUAAGGUAACGGCUUACCAAGGCAAUGAUGCAUAGCCGAGUUGAGAGACUGAUCGGGCCACAUUGGGACUGAGACACGGCCCAAACUCCUACGGGAGGCAGCAGUGGGAAUAUUGCACAAUGGGGAAACCCUGAUGCAGCGACGCCGCGUGAAGGAAGAAGUAUCUCGGU